rnacentral:lncRNA from 1 species
UGAUUCUCCACACUUGUUUCCUUGUCUCUUAGUUGGAUACAUAAGAUCCAGAGGAGAACUCUGAGAUGGAACCACUAGAGAAAAGGGGAUGCCAUUCUUGGGUCACUGCAUUAGACUUCCAUCCGCAUUCCCAGCUGGACUAUGAUUUGGUGAUGGCUUCGUCAGAAUUGAGUGUUGCCUGGAGAAUGACUCCUCUUCCUCUGCUACCCACUGGCGGGUUCUGGUGAAGGCUACACUCAUUCCUUUGACUCUGCAUGGCAGAAAAGGGGAGGAAGACCACUACGAGCUAGAACUGAGGCACUAGAUACCGUGUUGGACUCCAACCUGAUGCUAUAAUAAGCAUCGGGGAGAUUGGGGGUGGGGGUUGCUGGAGUAGUUGAUACAACGUGUUUCCUCAAGACCUCACCAUUACCUCUUUUGUCUGAAGACAACCACAGCCAUUUC